UCUACUGAAGAAUAAAGUAAUCUUCAUCGUUAAUGUCCUGAGGGUGAGUUCAUUUACAACAAAUUUGCCUUUUUGGGCGAUCUAUCCUGUUAAAACGAUGAGGAAUAAACACUUAAAAUAUCUUCUUUAAUGUUCCACAGAUGAAAGAAAGUUCUGUAGGUUUGUAAUUGUUAUUUUUGGAUGAAGGAUCUCUUAAAUUGUUGCUCAGAGGUUCAAAGGUUUUGGUUCAGUCUUGUUUUUCAGCAUCAUCUGCGCUGACCAGCGCUUCCUUCUGUCUGUAGCGAUGGCUCGUGUUUUCAUAAAUCACGUCUUCUGAUGCCGGACAGUGUCGGACCACAGCGUAUUCACUGGUCAGCGAGGACAGGCCCAUGAUCUCUCCUGACGGCGGGUCAGCGUUUGUGAAGUCGAUGGAGGAAUAAUGAAGGGAUUCAGGUGCACUCGGUGUCUUUGAGAAUGAAUAACUCACUGUUUGAGUCAGAAUGAAUCCAGAUCUGUCAUCUUCUCUGAUUUCUGAAGGUUUCUCUCUCCUUCUUCUGAAAAACAAGGUUUCAGAUCUUUGAAACAUUGAUGCUUGUAUAAAAUUUAAAUCAGAUUUAAAAAUCCUCCUUGUGAUGAAGCUAAAAGCAGGUGAAGUCUCAUCAGAGAAAUGUGUGAACCAGGAUUAUUAUAGUUAACUAAAACUACAACCAAAACCAUUAAAAAAAUAUUUUGUUAAGUCUUUGUUUUAUUUCAGCAGGUUUCUGAGUAAACAAUUUUACUUAGUUUAAACUGAUGUACUAAAAUAACUAAAACUGACAUAAAAAAUGGAAAAGUGAUUAAAAAUAUUAAUAAAA